rnacentral:rRNA from 1 species
CCUACGGGGGGCUGCAGUGAGGAAUAUUGGUCAAUGGGCGGAAGCCUGAACCAGCCAAGUAGCGUGCAGGAUGACGGCCCUACGGGUUGUAACCUGCUUUUAUACGGGAAUAACGCGCCUUACGUGUAGGGCUUUGCAUGUACCGUAUGCAUAAGGACCGGCUAAUUCCGCGCCAGCAGCCGCGGUAAUACGGGGGGUCCGGGCGUUAUCCGGAUUUAGUGGGGUUAAAGGGAGCGUAGGCCGCAGGUCAAGCGUGCUGUGAAAUGUCCGGGCUCAACCCGGGCCUUGCAGCGCGAACUGGCGUGCUUGAGUCCGCGGGAGGCAGGCGGAAUUCGUGGUGUAGCGGUGAAAUGCUUAGAUA